UCUAGGUCUAUCCACCUCAUUACAAAUAGCUCAAUUUCAUUUCUUUUUAUGGUUGAGUAAUAUUCCAUUGUAUAUAUGUGCCACAUCUUCUUUAUCCGAUGAUGGACACUUAGGUUGUUUCCAUGUCCUGGCUAUUGUAAAUAGAGCUUAUGCAGCAGACUUUAAAUAGACAUAUUUGACAAAGUCUAGUGUUCUUAAUCUCUUCUAUUAUGAACUUUAAUACAGUAAGGUCACUUUUUCCAAUAAUUCCUAUAUGUUGUACCACAUUAUCUUUUUCCUUUGAGAGUAUCAGUUCUCAAUUCUAAGAGGUCUUUGGUUAGAUUUGAUCCAACUUUUAUUUUACAGCAAAGAAACAUUAUGGUAAAUUUUGCAAUGAAAGGGGUUUGUCCACAGGUGAUCCAGAACCAAAAUUCCAGUUUGGGGCAGGUAGAAGUCUCAAGGGCAGGCACUCAGGGGGAUCCUAAUGAGGAAUGUGUUGUAACACCUUGUACCCAGUAGAUACUCAGUGGAAUCUGAUUGCUGAUCAUUUCUCGUCCUGCAGUGUGGGCCAAGCUGAAACUGCAGAAGGCGUCGGAACGAUGGCAGCCUGACACUGAGGAAGAGUACGAAGACUCCAGUGGGAAUGUUGUGAAUAAGAAGACGUACGAGGAUCUGAAAAGACAAGGACUGCUCUAGUGUUCAGGGAUGUUUCUCAGCUGUGGGGCUAGCCCAAUCUUCCUUAAGAUCUGCUUUUUCUAUUCCUCCCAGCCAAACGCUCCUAAAGACUCUUUGCUACUUAGUCUUACGGACUAGCAUGCAUCUUGUAGAAGCAAGGCAUGCUGGCAUAUUGCAGGGUUGAGGUGUGUUUUAUCUUUGUUUUAUAUUAAAAAAGAUUCUGUUGGAAAAUAAAA